rnacentral:rRNA from 1 species
GACCUCAAAUCAGGUAGGACUACCCGCUGAACUUAAGCAUAUCAAUAAGCGGAGGAAAAGAAACUAACAAGGAUUCCCCUAGUAACUGCGAGUGAAGCGGGAAAAGCUCAAAUUUAAAAUCUGGUGGUCUUUGGCCGUCCGAGUUGUAAUCUAGAGAAGUGUUAUCCGCGCUGGACCGUGUACAAGUCUCCUGGAAUGGAGCGUCAUAGAGGGUGAGAAUCCCGUCUUUGACACGGACUGCCAGGGCUUUGUGAUGCGCUCUCAAAGAGUCGAGUUGUUUGGGAAUGCAGCUCAAAAUGGGUGGUAAAUUCCAUCUAAAGCUAAAUAUUGGCGAGAGACCGAUAGCGAACAAGUACCGUGAGGGAAAGAUGAAAAGAACUUUGGAAAGAGAGUUAAACAGUACGUGAAAUUGCUGAAAGGGAAACGCUUGAAGUCAGUCGCGUUGGCCGGGGAUCAACCUUGCUUUUGCUGGGUGUACUUUCCGGUCGACGGGUCAGCAUCAAUUUUGACCGUUGGAUAAAGUGUGAGGGAAUGUGGCAUCCUCGGAUGUGUUAUAGCCCUUGCUCGCAUACAACGAUUGGGAUUGAGGAACUCAGCACGCCGAAAGGCCGGGUACUUGUACCACGUUCGUGCUUAGGAUGCUGGCAUAAUGGCUUUAAUCGACCCGUCUUGAAACACGGACCAAGGAGUCUAACAUGCCUGCGAGUAUUUGGGUGGAAAACCCGAGUGCGUAAUGAAAGUGAAAGUUGAGAUCCCUGUCAUGGGGAGCAUCGACGCCCGGACCAGACCUUUUGUGACGGAUCUGCGGUAGAGCAUGUAUGUUGGGACCCGAAAGAUGGUGAACUAUGCCUGAAUAGGGUGAAGCCAGAGGAAACUCUGGUGGAGGCUCGUAGCGAUUCUGACGUGCAAAU